CCUACGGGGGGCAGCAGUGAGGAAUAUUGGUCAAUGGGCGGGAGCCUGAACCAGCCAAGCCGCGUGAAGGAAGAAGGCGCCAGGCGUCGUAAACUUCUUUUGUCGGGGAACAAAGGGCGCCAAGCGUGGCGUUGUGAGUGUACCCGAAGAAAAAGCAUCGGCUAACUCCGUGCCAGCAGCCGCGGUAAUACGGAGGAUGCGAGCGUUAUCCGGAUUUAUGGGGGUUAAAGGGUGCGUAGGCGGUCCGGAAAGUCAGCGGUAAAAGCCCCGGGCCAAACCCCGGCGGGCAGUGUCAACUGUCGGACUAGGGACGGCGGGAAGUACGCGGAAUGCGCGGUGUAGUGGUGAAAUGCAUAGAUAUCUCGCAGAACUCCGAUUGCGAAGGCAGCGUACCGGCGCCGGACUGACGCUGAGGCACGAAAGCGUGGGUAUCGAACAGGAUUAGAUACCCCCUGUAGUC
rnacentral:rRNA from 1 species